rnacentral:lncRNA from 1 species
UAAAAGGAUACAAAAAAAACCUGAAUAAUUAUUGUGACUGGAAAAGAAAAUUGAAGCCUAACAGACAAGGACCAGAGGAAGACAUCCUUUUUACUAGACUUGCUCUCCUAAUGUCUGAAUUUAUGUUGCCAUUUGCAUGUAUAAUGCAUCUGUAUAUGUAAAGGAAACAGUUAAAAUAGACUACCUCACUGUAGCCCUCUCUCAGUUGGGUAAGGAAGGGUGCCUGGUAACAGAACGUUCAAACAAUGAAGUUAUGAAAUAAAACUUAAAAUUACCAUGGUGAUGCAGCAAAGAGUUGACCUGCAACCCCCACCGUCACCCAGCAGAGAAGCAGAGGGCUGCAGACACCCCCUCCUUCGUCGUCCUGCCCUCCUUCCGCUCGUCCAGCCACCUUCGUACUCGAGAACCCAUGGUACACAGUAGGCUCUCAUUACUUAAGCUCUAUUUGUUUAUUCUCCAGCGCUUUUCCUCGGAGAUUAAAAGAGGCUUUUGAAAGCUCGAGGUCCUCUCUAAGAAGCAGCAGGACAUCAAGUCGGGUCCCUCAGGCCUGCGGGGUCCCGGCGGCACAGCGCCUCCUGCCGGCCAGGGUGGCGAUGGCCGCAGGAACUGGCCGGAGCCCGCGAAGGCGCAGAGAGCACAGGCAACAUGCAAAUCCCUAUGCCUCAGAGCCGUUGUUCAACUGAGCAAGAGAAAAGAUCAGCACAGAAGGCUGCAGGGUAAUCUUACACCGCUGAGACUGGCAAGGUGUGAAGACCGGCAGGUUAAGGGCAGACACUGCAAGAGUACCCAGGGGCUGAAGAAAUUGCAAGUGCUAGACAUCGAGAUGGCUUUGAGCAACCCUGUGGCCAGUGUCCUCAACAGUAGUUCUUACCACAAUGCAGAAGACCUUCUCCUGGGACCACAUCUUACAAAGUCUUUUGAUUACAAAUAGUGGCAUAAUGACAUUAGCUGAUAAUUCAGUGGCUACUGUGACACUGAUGUGGUGAUUAAACUAAUGAAAUAACAGAACAAGCUCACAUUUAGCAGUCUCUUGAUAUGAAAGACAAAGUCAUGCUGAGAAUCCAGUGUACUUUCAUUAACAUGAGUUUGUAUUGAUUCCUGCAUCAAAUAAACAGGUCCUCAGCCCAAGAUCUUUGCUGUCAACUAGCCAUUUGGAUUUAAGUGGAGGCAAUGGAGGGCAGUUAAAAAUGUGCAGAGGGAAGCUUUGGAAGGAGAAACUAUCAGAAAAUGUGUUUGGGGAUGUUCUCUGAACACAGUUUACAAGAGAAAGGUUAAGGAUUGGGUAGGGUAUCAUCUAGACCUCUGUUAGGACACAUACCAAGUCUGCCGGGUCAUAAACACAAAUGUCUACAGGAGCCAGGCGGGUAUCAUCGCUGAGUGAACAGGCAGGAUGGGUGUCAGGAGGGAG